CAGUCGCCGCGGUAAUACGAAGGGGGCUAGCGUUGCUCGGAUUUACUGGGCGUAAAGGGCGCGUAGGCGGACAGUUAAGUCGGGGGUGAAAGCCCGGGGCUCAACCUCGGAAUUGCCUUCGAAACUGGCUGUCUUGAGUACGGGAGAGGUGAGUGGAACUCCGAGUGUAGAGGUGAAAUUCGUAGAUAUUCGGAAGAACACCAGUGGCGAAGGCGACUCACUGGCCCGUUACUGACGCUGAGGCGCGAAAGCGUGGGGAGCAAACAGGAUUAGAUACCCCCGUAGUCCCUGUCUCUUAUAC
rnacentral:rRNA from 1 species